UUUGGUGCUCAAGAUUUGUCGUCGUUUAGGUACUACGGGGAAGAAAACCGUUUGCUCCGUUUGUCCCUAGCCGAGCUUGCAGCACAGAAUCGACAGGAUGCGUGGCCGGCAAGGCGGAAGAAGCCGCGUCCGAGGGAGAAAGUCAGGUGCAUGUGGUGACCAUUCUCAAAGGGAACUGCAGUUCCUGAGCGGACAUAUACAGCAGAAAGCAUCGCUAUUUAUACAGUCACACAAUAGCCCACCAGCCAUGCUUAGAACGCCACGACAAAGCCACACAAAAUUCAACGUGGUGAUAGCCCG